AGCGGUGUCCACGGGCGCUGGUUCCAAUCGCUUCCAGCCCCGGCAUUUUCGGUGGCAGGGGCAGCGAGGCGCGACGCGGAGGUGGGGGUAGCUUCCUGACGGCCGACACGUCCCGGCUUCACCUUGCCACGUGCACGUACUCCACAUUAUUUUUGACUUUUUCCCAGAACUGUCUACGGUAGGUAAUCUUUAGAGAAUUUUUAUUAGAAAAAUAAAAACCGUCUAUCUGGCAGAAUCAUAUAGUGAUUAGUAGAAAGUAUCUAGAAAUAUUUAGAUUAAAGUAAUUGGCGGUAUAAAAAUGUAAGACCAAAUAUCAAGAAGUGAGAUCAAAUACUAAUUAAAUUUAAUUUUUAUAAAUAUUUUUUAUUGAUUAAUAAUUAGAAAAAAUUAAAACAAAAGUACCUGAAAGUAUCUAUUGAGACUACUUUACAAUCAUUAUAAUACUAUAUAGUAUUGAGCUAUUUCCUGAGAGUAGCAUCGCGGAGCAACUUUAAUUUGUUUAUCUCCUCUCAUUCAUGUUGGCGCCCGCCGCGGGUGUCCAUCGUGGCCAAGACGCAAAAAUUAUGUGCGCCGUCCAAUAGGGAUCCGCCGAGUUCCUUGUUUACCGUCCGGUAGCUGUCUCCUGGACGUGCAUUGGAAGGACAAAAUCAAAGAGAAACAACAAAGUGCAUUUUUUUUAUUUUGAGCAUAACAACAAAGUGCAUUGAAAGGCAUUAGAUUAGCUUCGCAUCCCACGGUCGGCUGUUCUUCCGGAAUCUUACUUCAGGGUGCUGCUGCAUUUAUCCUACCUGAAGUAUUGAGCGCGCGUCGUUCGCCAUUGUUCAUUUUCUUCACUGCGCGAAAAACUUGCACUGCCGGCGUUAUAAAUUUUUAAAAUUUACAAAUACACAGGUUCCGAUGGCGAACCAUGGGAAUGGAAGCACAAAUGCCAAUGGUACAAGGCUCAAAGAUGAAUAGAGGACAACAAUGAAGGAACUAAGCAUCCUAAGGCUAAGUUUGGUUUCUUUCGGUUUAAGUCAUAAGUCCCGUCACGUCGCAUGUUUACACACCAAUUAAGAGUACUAAACAUAGAUUUAUUAUAAAACUAAUUUUAUAAGUCGUGACUUAAUCACGAGACGAAUCUAUUGAGCCUAAUUAGUUCAUAAUUUGACUACUAAUCGCUACAGUAAUUAUCCACUAACUGUGCAUUAAUUAUACUUAACUAGUAGGGCGGCACGUGUUUUUCGAAAAUCAGGUGAAAUAAAAUUUAUGUUUAUAGAAAAUAUUUGCAAUGCCCACGAGUCUUCCCCAUGAAACCACAAUUACCUAGCAUAAGAAGGUUGUAGCAGUGUCCAUGUGCGGCACACACAUGUUUUAAAAUCAAGAGAUUUCCCUCGCAAAAAAAAUCAAGAGAUUUCCCUCGCAAAAAAAAAUCAAGAGAUUUCUAGCAUAAAUCCGCAUGCGGCAUGUACAUAUUUUAAAAAAUUCAGAAAAUAACCACUUUAUAUUUAAAGCAGUGAUUGAUAUGUGACAAUUAUAUAAACAACCUAGGACACAAGAUAUUUAGAUUAAUUAACCAACAAUUUAGCUUAAAUCAUAAUCCAUACCAUAAUUAUUUUCAUCCACACAUUAUAUUAUAUGUAUCUUUAAUAAGGUUGUGUGUUGUGUCCAUCCAACAAAUCCACGCACAUAACAAUCAACAAACAUUUAAGUGACGGAGAAGAGGAAUCUUGUUCAACUUGGUUCCUUCUUUGGGAUAAGAAAAUGUGAGUACAACUCGGUAGUUUGGUUUCUCACAAAGUAAUAAAUUUAAAAGCUUGAAUUGGAUAGAACAUUAUAAAAGUGCUACAACCCCACGAGUACUGCCUUUUGGUCUGUCAUCCAUCCAUGGCAAUGGAUGAAGAAGACAUUUCUCACAUCACACUACAUGAUCUCACUGAAAUUACAAUCUAAUAUGAUGUCCAGGUAGUAGCACCAGACCUUGCCCCCUCCUUGCCAUGACAUCUGAAAAAUAUUGCUCUGGAUAUCCAAUACAAAAAUUAGAAACUAAUUCAAAAGUUGGAAUUUGAAACUAAUAUGUUUGAUAGCAUACCUAUUAGACAGUAGACCUCUUUGACAAUAGGGUAGUAUUUUGAAAUAUAAGGGCAGGAAGAUAAUCCAUGUAAAUAAUUGGGAGAACAUGAUUUAAAUAGACUGGGUUUGAAAUUACAUAUUUCACAACCUUGCUAUGAAUCUGCACAUUAGCAAAGUGUGACCCCUAACCUUAAUUCAGGUGUAGCAGUUUUUCUAUAAAUGCUUGAACCUUAAAUUGACUGGGUUCAAUGCCUAAAUUUUUCUAUAAAUAAAUUAGGGCUUCAUUUAUACUAAGAAACCGUGUGUAGUAGUUUUGAUGAAUAAAAUAUAAAAGUUCAGCUACUUAAAUCACCAAAAAAAAUUCUUAUCAUACCAGGCAUGUUCUAUUACUGAACUGUCCUCAAUAAGCCUAUGAAGGAAAAAUAGAAGAAUCUAGUAGUAAUAUAAUUCAUCGACAAACAACACAAGAAAUAUUUUUUAGCUUGAAGUUUAUAAACCUGCCAUGUAUUUUCUUAUCAAUAUUGCUUUGCAAUUGAAACAACACUGCAGCCAUGUUAGUGGGAUGAAUAACCUGCAAGUGAAACAACUUUCUCUUAUGCUCCUGAGUUAAGUGGAACAUCUCAUCGUGAGUGGAAUGAAUAACAUGCAACAUUAACCAGAUUAUUGGCCAUGGAGGAUAAAUACCAGCUUCUUAGGAUUGAAAAGGAUGUGAAUUCAUAGUCAUGCUUUCUAAGAUAUUUUUGUAAUUAGCCAAAUGAUCUAGUGCUUGACCCAAACUCAGCCAUGUGUUCUGUUCAAGUGAGAAAGCAGUGGAUCCUGUAAACAGUAGAGCCUUUAGGAGUGGCAAGGGCACAAACCGAUACAAGCAGAUCAACCGGUACAUCGCUUGCCUGCUACCCACCCUUGCCAUUGGCUCCACCCUUGCCGACCUCUUCCUCCCAAGCAUUGACCAAACAGUUGUGUUGCAUGCCAUCUGCACAAUUUAUUUAACAUAAGCAACUGUAGAAAAAUUAAUCUAGCAGUACUCCUACCAUGAAGGCCAUUGUUACUUUAAGAGAAGCUCAUUGAUCUACAAAGAAUGAGAAAAUAUAUUAAAUCGAUCAACAAGAAACUACUCACACAUCUAGCAAGAUCAGGAAAAAUUCAAAAAUAGGAGGAUUGCCAAUUUGACCUUAAAUAUGAAAGAUAGGACCACAUAACAAGAUCAAAGAUAAAUAAGAUUUUUAUAUAUGUUUCACACAAAAGAGAUAUAAUCCAAAACUGAAUGAAUAUAAACAAAGCUAAUAGUGCAGGCAAGAUAAAUCCUCACAGCAGAGCCUGUAUUAUUAAGCUUACACUUUGCACCCAGCAAAGCAGCCAUUGUUUUGUCAGAAACAUGUAACCUUUGGUCUACCGAUUUCACCUUUCCAUUGACAACUGAUAUCCCAUUGUUUAUCUUCUGCGAAAGGCCAACACGCUUAUCAGAGGAAUUGAUCCUUGCUGAUGCAUUAGCUCUCAACUGAUGUUUCUCAUCAAAUGCUUUAGCCUUGUUCACAACAUCUUGUCUCAUUGUUGAACCCCUUGCAAUCACAUUUGUCAUGACAUCAUGGGCCUUGCUCACAUAGAUAUCACUAUUGGAGCUGGCAUUGGCCUAUUUGGCAAGACAAGAGAAUAUUUUAAUUAAUAACUGCCAGCAUAAUACACUUUGUAUGAAAUAACAUGAGACAAGAUUAUGAUACACUUUGCAUAACAAAUUGAUACCUAAAAUAAUCAUUUUAAUCAACAGCUGAUAUUUUUAACGGUGGUACCCCUGGGUACCUUGCAACAUCAUAAAACAACUCAAAUAACAAAUAUGCAUGUAGGUUCCAGUUUAUUUAUUUAGGUUUCAAAUACCUAGCCACUAUUCAGUAAAAAAUGUGCAAGAUGUUGGCACUUGAUCAGCAUUGAUCCCUACAACCACUCCUUACAAGAGACACCCUUUUUCAAUCUGCCAUAGCCACUCUGGAAGGCCUCAUGAUCUAACUACCAGGGAUAAAAAACUAAAAAAUUGCAUUGGCAAUUAAAAGUACCUCUGGAGAGAGGAGUCCUCCAGGAGCUGAACUUGUACUUGUUUGAAACUAAUUAUACAUCACCUCUACAGGAACCUAAUGUACUCCAUGUUAUAAGAAUUUCAUCAAGAAUAUAGCCAAGUGGACAAAUCAAUAAUAUAUAUCUCGUGUUAGUGAGCAUCAAAUGGGUAGAUAAAAAAUAUAUACAAUUACAUUAACUUCUCGAAAUUAUUCAUUACGGAGGACGUAAAAGAAAGGUAUUUUUUAUUAAAAAAACAUUACCCAUCAAGUCAACAUCCAAUAGGGAAAAUUUAGAAAGCUGGACUACAAAAUUAUAUUAUAACAAAUAAAAAAUUAUAUCUAUAAAAAAUAAUAAGCAGUAAUAUAAUAAAGGUAUACACGAGGCAAGGACAUAUCUGUAAUAAAUCCAAUAAACAAUUUGAAUUGGGCAACCAGUUUAUCAACAGGGAUCCCCAACCCCUAAAUGCUUAUUAUCACAACCAACAGAAACAUUAGAAAUUGCUCGUCAUCAAUGAACAAUAUAUAGAAGAUACUACCUGACAUCCAGAACUCCAAGCCACAAAAUCCGUUAACUUAGUAUCCCAAGUAUCAUUCUAUCUAUCAAGUACGGUGCAAAAUAUGUACGCACAUUUGUUGGCGUGUCAACCAUAGACGUCUUCGGCACUGCAAUAGAAGCUAAUGUGUACACCGUAGACAUAUGUGUUGCAGUGUCUGAGUUAUCAGGCUUGAUCAAUACAUCCCCACCUAUACUGUGCAUGAAAUUUUCAGCCAGGCUUGUUGGAGGAAUUUGACUCUUCUCUGCAGAUGGAAUAUUUCUAGCAGGCUUAUCCUCAGGAGCUCUGGCUGCAGGUUUGUCGAACGGUUUCACAGGCUGAGCAGUAGAGGAAAGAUCAAGCCGUGCUUUCUUGGAUAAUUCCAUGACAUCUUUCAUCUCUGUAAGACAAAAGAAGAACACAAGGCAGACAAGUCUGAUUUAAUUAUCUCAAGAAUUUGUAUGCACACAUAUGCAUGGAAGAAAAACCAUGUGUGUCAAAACACUCAAAUAUAAGACCUAGAUAUUCAAAGAGGCACAUAUAGAUCACAAGACAAGGGGCAUUAUUGCUGGCCUUUACAUGUGCAUUUCGAAAGGAAGUUUCUAAUUUGUGUAA